ensembl:lncRNA
GGAUCCGAGCAGCGGUGCGCAUGUUCUAUUUGGGCCAAUUCCUUAUAUACUAGUGCAAAGUUGAUUUAGCGAAGCCUACACCAUCAUUUACAUCAUUUCUAAAAGGACUACACUACUCACAACCACAAGGCCCGGCAGAGAGCCAGAGAAACACAGGUCAGUGAAGGCUGUUUGCGGGGGAAUGUCUGUUCCACUGCAGGCUCGCAUCCGUGACUUCCUCUGCAGCUCAGUCUUUAGACACACAGAGACAUGGGGCAGAGAGCUCAGCAGAGCCGCUCUGCCUGCCAGACCUCAAACUGCAGCCUGCAGCUGCACUGACCAGCACUGGGCUGGGGGAGGGAUGGAGGGAGAGGAGAGCCGAAUGGGAGAGUGAAGAUGUGAGGAGAGGAGAGCAGAAUGGGAGAGUGAAGAUGUGAGGAGAGCAGAAUGGGAGAGUGAAGAUGUGAGGAGGAGAGAGCAGUGCACAAGAAAGAGAGGGAGGAAGCGAAUGGGAGGACAGAUGGAGAGAAUUAUUAUCCUCCCCCCUCCUCCUCUUCCUCCUGCCCCCUCUGACUCCCUCGCUCCCGAUGGACAGCACAGGAUGCUCCACCUCCUUCCGGAUUUCAACCAAUCACUGGCUGAGGCUCGUAAAGCUCGCUACAUCCAUCACCGAGGUCUUUCCCCCUGCGAGAGGGAGCUGUCAAUCACUGACAUAUUUACCAGAGGCAAUAUGGGUUCCAACCACAGAUUCUGAAAGCAACCCUGUUAGACUUAAAAACAUUCCUGUGAGUGUGACCUACUGACUAGGUUUGCUUUAACCUAAGACCUUUGCACACCACAGGAAUGUGUCGAGUGGGGUUCCCAAAGUUUUUCUGCACAUGACCCCAAAUUUACACUAGAAAAUGCAUGGGACCCCACUUUGGAAAAUAAUAGGCCUAACAGUUAACACUAUGUGUUUACAUUCACUAAAUGUUAGGUCCCAAAGGCUGUCCCAACAUGAUAAUGACAUGAAAGCACAUUUGUAUAAAAGGCCCUUAGUUGACACUGUACACAUUUUGAAGAGAAAGAGUUGUUAAUUUCUUUGAUAAGCUUACAGAUUUUCUCAGGGGACCCCAUUUCAAUUUCAGGGGACCCCACCCCAAGUUUGGAAAACACUGUGUUAGCCAAUUAAGUAAAAACCUUAAUAUUUGCUCGGGGAGCUUCAGUUCUCAGGCAGUUCUCACUUCCGUUACAUUUAUGGACACCUCUAUAAACAUUAGAUCAGUGGAGGCUGCUGAUGGGAGAACCCAUAAUAAUGGCCGGAACAGAGCAAAUGGAAUGGCAUCAAACACCUGGAAACUGUUUGUUUGAUACGUUCGAUACCAUUCCACCUAUUCCGCUCCAGUCAUUAUCACGAGCCCGUUCUCCCCAAUUAAGGUGCCACUAACCACCUGUGCAUUAGAUCCAUUCCAACCUACUAUGUCCGGACAACGUGAAGCCAUACUCAACAAGGCCUUGGUCUGUCAUACACCUGUUUCGUGCCAAACUGACAGUGCAUCUUGUUCAAUGAGCCAUAUUUCUAUCCAUGAAUGUACCAUUUGAGCAGGGACAGUUUACCACAUUUGGGGCCUCGUGCACUGACCUACGUCAGCUAACUUACUGCAUUUCAACACAUUUGGCUAUGGAGCAGAGAGAAAAUGUGCAGUUUUAUAAUGCUAUUCUACACAUUUCAUCAUGAGGCCAAGGGGAAAAUGUUGUAGUUCAAAGCAAAUUUCCAGUAAUUCUACACUUUUUGCCAUCUCAUGCUUUUGUUCACAUUUGGCCAUAGGGCUGAGAGAACAUUUUCCAGUUUUAAAGCUAAUUUCCUGCAAAUGCAGGGGUGGGGGUUGGUGCUCCCUGGAAGUCAGGGGAGGCACUUACCCUGUGUGCCAGUUCGAUAAUCCAGCCCUGCAUUUCAAAUCAAAUCAAAUUUUAUUUGUGACAUGCGCCGAAUACAACAGAUGUAGACUUUAAUGUGGAAUGCUGACUUACAAGCCCUUAACCAACAGUGCAGUUGAAGAAGAAGAAAAUAUUUACCAAGUAGACUAAAAUAAAAAGUAAUAAAAAAGUAACACAAUAAGAAUAACAAUAAGGAGGCUAUAUACAGGAGGCACCGGUACCGAGUCAGUUUACUGGGGUACAGGCUAGUUGAGGUAAUCUGUACAUGUAGGUGGGGGUGAAGUGACUAUGCAUAGGUAACAAACAAAUAGCGAGUAGCAGCAGUGUACAAAAGGGAGGGGGGGUCAAUGUAUAUUGUCUGGCGGAGAUUUUAUGGAUUUUUCAGCAGUCUUGUGGCUUGGGGGUAGAAGCUGUUAAGGCGCCUUUUGGUCCUAGACUUGGUGCUCCUGUACUGCUUGCCGUGCGGUAGCAGAGAAAACAGUCUAUAUACUUGGGUGACUGGAGUCUCUGACAAUUUUAUGGGCUUUCCUCACACACUGCCUAUUAUAUAGGUCCUGGAUGGCAGGAAGCUUGGCCCCAGUGAUGUAUUGGGGUUACUAUCCUCUGUAGAUCCUUACGGUCAGAGGCCGAGCAAUUGCCAUACCAUGUGGUGAUGCAACCGGUCAGGAUGCUCUCUGGUGCAGCUGUAGAAUCUUUUGAGAAUCUGGGGACCCAUGCUUAAUCUUUUCAGUCUCCUGAGGGGGAGAAAGGUUUUGUCAUGCCCUCUUCACAACUGUCUUGGUAUGUUUGGACCAUGAUAAUUUGUUGGUGAUGUGGACACCAAGGAACUUGAAACUCUCAACCCGCUCCUCUACAGCCCAGUCAAUGUUAAUGGGGGCCUGGUUGGCCCGCCUUUUCCUGUAGUCCACGAUCAGCU